GAUGAACGCUGGCGGCGUGCCUAAUACAUGCAAGUCGAGCGAACAGACGAGGAGCUUGCUCCUCUGACGUUAGCGGCGGACGGGUGAGUAACACGUGGAUAACCUACCUAUAAGACUGGGAUAACUUCGGGAAACCGGAGCUAAUACCGGAUAAUAUAUUGAACCGCAUGGUUCAAUAGUGAAAGACGGUUUUGCUGUCACUUAUAGAUGGAUCCGCGCCGCAUUAGCUAGUUGGUAAGGUAACGGCUUACCAAGGCGACGAUGCGUAGCCGACCUGAGAGGGUGAUCGGCCACACUGGAACUGAGACACGGUCCAGACUCCUACGGGCGGCAGCAGUAGGGAAUCUUCCGCAAUGGGCGAAAGCUUGACGGAGCAACGCCGCGUGAGUGAUGAAGGUCUUCGGAUCGUAAAACUCUGUUAUUAGGGAAGAACAAAUGUGUAAGUAACUAUGCACGUCUUGACGGUACCUAAUCAGAAAGCCACGGCUAACUACGUG
rnacentral:rRNA from 1 species